rnacentral:lncRNA from 1 species
GCGAUGAUGCAUUUGAAAAGAAGCAUUUGUAAACCAUAAAACUUUCAUCUCUACCAGGCUCAGAUUCCCACAGUAGCUCCCUAAUUUCUUUAAGCCAUUUUCUGUCUGGUUUUUAGGAGUCUUCAUAACUGGUCUGCACCUUAUCCAGCCACCUCAUUUCUCACCAUUUUCCACUACAGACUCUGAUAACAAUGAGGCCAGCCUUCUUCAUUCAGCAUUCUCUCCACUGGUUCUUCCCUGGAACACCAACAAUGACCACCAAGCCCCUCUGCUCAUCUUCAGCAUCUUCAUUCUCCUGCCCUCCGAGAGCUCUUGACAGUAAACAGGGUGUUCCCCUGCCAGCAUCCUCCUCCCUAUCUAGAUUCUGGAAAUUGAGGAAUAAAUGCAGGCUAGCUGCUGACGUUCAAGCGGAGACACUAUUUCAUUCAUAACCUCCUUUCAGCAACCACUCAUGACUUUCAUGGAACGGA